rnacentral:rRNA from 1 species
UACGAAGGGGACUAGCGUUGUUCGGAAUUACUGGGCGUAAAGCGCACGUAGGCGGAUUGCCAAGUCAGGGGUGAAAUCCCGGGGCUCAACCUCGGAACUGCCUUUGAUACUGACAAUCUCGAGUCCGAUAGAGGUGGGUGGAAUUCCUAGUGUAGAGGUGAAAUUCGUAGAUAUUAGGAAGAACACCGGUGGCGAAGGCGGCCCACUGGAUCGGUACUGACGCUGAGGUGCGAAAGCGUGGGGAGCAAACAGG